GGGAUUGUGGCUCAGAGGUAGAGCGCUCGCCUAGCAUGUGCGAGGCCCUGGGUUCAAUCCUCAGCACCA
rnacentral:tRNA from 1 species